rnacentral:rRNA from 1 species
GAUGAACGCUGGCGGCGUGCCUAAUACAUGCAAGUCGAGCGAACGGACGAGAAGCUUGCUUCUCUGAUGUUAGCGGCGGACGGGUGAGUAACACGUGGAUAACCUACCUAUAAGACUGGGAUAACUUCGGGAAACCGGAGCUAAUACCGGAUAAUAUUUUGAACCGCAUGGUUCAAAAGUGAAAGACGGUCUUGCUGUCACUUAUAGAUGGAUCCGCGCUGCAUUAGCUAGUUGGUAAGGUAACGGCUUACCAAGGCAACGAUGCAUAGCCGACCUGAGAGGGUGAUCGGCCCCACUGGAACUGAGACACGGUCCAGACUCCUACGGGAGGCAGCAGUAGGGAAUCUUCCGCAAUGGGCUAAAGCCUGACGGAGCAACGCCGCGUGAGUGAUGAAGGUCUUCGGAUCGUAAAACUCUGUUAUUAGGGAAGAACAUAUGUGUAAGUAACUGUGCACAUCUUGACGGUACCUAAUCAGAAAGCCACGGCUAACUACGUG